rnacentral:rRNA from 1 species
CCUACGGGUGGCUGCAGUGAGGAAUAUUGGUCAAUGGCCGGGAGGCUGAACCAGCCAAGUCGCGUGAGGGAAGACGGCCCUACGGGUUGUAAACCUCUUUUGUCAGGGAGCAAGGUGCAGGUCGGGACCUGCUGUGAGAGUACCUGAAGAAAAAGCAUCGGCUAACUCCGUGCCAGCAGCCGCGGUAAUACGGAGGAUGCGAGCGUUAUCCGGAUUUAUUGGGUUUAAAGGGUGCGUAGGCGGCCUUUUAAGUCAGCGGUGAAAGUCUGUGGCUCAACCAUAGAAUUGCCGUUGAAACUGGGGGGCUUGAGUAUGUUUGAGGCAGGCGGAAUGCGUGGUGUAGCGGUGAAAUGCUUAGAUAUCACGAAGAACCCCGAUUGCGAAGGCAGCUUACUAAACUGUGACUGACAUUGAUGCUCGAAAGUGUGGGUAUCAAACAGGAUUAGAUACCCGAGUAGUC